UCCUGGCUCAGAAUGAACGCUGGCGGCGUGCCUGAUACAUGCAAGUBGAGCGCGAAAGUGGCCUUCGGGCGAGAGUAGAGCGGCGAACGGGUGAGUAACACGUGGGUAACCUGCCUUGGUAAGGGGAAUNNCUUGGGGAAACCUGAGCUAAUGCCGCAUAAGAUCGCCGGCCCUUCGGUGCCGGCGAGGAAAGGUGGCCUAUUCUUGAUAGCUGCCGUUCCAAGAGGGGCCCGCGUCCGAUUAGCUAGUUGGUGGGGUAAUGGCUCACCAAGGCGACGAUCGGUAGCCGGCCUGAGAGGGUGAUCGGCCACACUGGAACUGAGACACGGUCCAGACCGCUACGGUGGGCAGCAGUACGGGAUAUUKCGCAAUGGGCGAAAGCUGAACGCAGCAACGCCGCGUGAAGGAUGAAGGCCUUCGGGUUGUAAACUUCUGUCAGGCGGGACGAACGAGCGGUGGUGAACAGCCAUCGUUUCUUGACGGUACCGCCGGAGGAAGCCCCGGCUAACUCCGUGCCAGCAGCCGCGGUAAUACGGAGGGGGCAAGCGUUAUUCGGAAUUAUUUGGCGUAAUGGGCGUGUAGGCGGCUUGAUAAGCCAAAGGUGAAAUCCCUCAGCUCAACUGAGGAACUGCCUUUGGAACUGUCUCGCUAGAGGCCAGGAGAGGGUAGCGGAAUUCCCAGUGUAGCGGUGAAAUGCGUAGAUAUU
rnacentral:rRNA from 1 species